GGAAAAGGACCAUUUUGCCUAAAAAAUGGAGUGUUUAAGUCACUUGAAACCUUUACAUAGGUGCUGCCUAUGCUAUCGCCUAUGUUUACAUAGGCGCCGCCUAUGCUAUUGCCUAUGUUUACAUAGGCGCCGCCUAUGCUAUCGACUAUGUUUUUCAGGUGCCAUGUGCGAUUGGUUAGGUGACGCAUACUACUUUGAAAGGCCAUAACUUCUUGCUCGGGUGCCGGA
rnacentral:lncRNA from 1 species